AAUCACCAAGAUGUGCCUUAAUCUGCACAGAGAAAUAAAUCACAAGUGCUUGUUGAAUCAAUGAAAGUGUAGUGUCAACAAACAUUUUGCAGCACGUGAAACAAUUCAAAGCAAAACGUACGUGAAUCAAUCAGCAUAAACUUGAUUGAAAACUACAAAUUUCCUCUUUUGAAUCAAGAUUAUACCAUAAACUUUACUUACAUAGGUGAAUGUUCGAAAAACAAAAUCAAGUCACAAAAAGAAACUAUUACUGUCUGGAUAUAACAACACCUUGACCCAACCAUCACUAGUUUAUUACACCAUGAAUUAUCAAUCAGACUCGUGAAGCAUUGAAUUUGAGAAAUGCAUGCCAAUUUCACAUGGGUUGAAUAUCCUGAACAUACUUCAGAGUGGUUACCAAAAAUGACCAGGUUACUUUGCCAGAUAUUUAAAGAUGGUUUGACAUAUCUUACUCCUUUGCCAUCCUUUGCCACCAUUUUCUUCAUCAAAGAAUGGCAUUGUCAUGUAAAGGCUCCCCAUAGAAUCACCAACAAAACAUACUCCGAGACCUAUUCAACUACUAAUUGCAGCAUCAUUAAAUUUCAGAACUGUUCAUCAUCCUUCAAAGUUCAAACAACAAUAUAAGAGAACUUCAGUUAGCAACUCCACUGGAUAAGCUAGAAGGUGGUAUAGGAAAGCACUGACGGCUCUCAUAUGACUUCAAGCAACUGAGUUAGUACAGUCAGCUUUUCUUUCAAAAACAUUGUGCUGUAGGGUUUUAGAACUAGGAGGAAUAAUGGCUCACAGAUCCGUAGAGGACUUUCAGGUUCAGGAAAAGGAGGUUUUUGAGGCUUGACAAGGAUUACACAAUUAAACAUUGACACAUAUGCGAAUAAGAAACAACAAAUGAUGCAAAGUAAGCAAACAGAGACACAAAAUCGAAGCAUAUCAACUGCCACAUUUUUUUCUGGGUUAUAAAACAAAAUCAGAUGGCUUGUUCCACAAUAAAGAUAGUUGAAUGUCUUCAAAUGCAAAUUUUUCAUACAAGAUAUUUCAGUUCUUAAUAAUAAAUCUAUAAGUUCUAAAAUGUUUUUGUUUUUGUAUGAAUACACCACAUGUUUCAGGGCAGAGAUGCGUGAGGUUCCCAAAAUAUCUCAAGUUAAGGCCAUAUCAUGCAACAGCUUGGAGAAAUUCCAUUAGAUAAAUUUUACACUUAUAAAUUUCAUCUCAAGAACCAUGUUUCAAGCACCACCAGGGUUGGAGGAGAAAGCAAUUACAGGGUUACAAAACUUCUUACACCUGUUUUAUUUUAUUUUAGUUUUUUCAGUCACUUCUUCUUAACCACACAAUUUUUUUCAUUUUAUAUGGUAAUGGUUGACAAUAUUAAAAGUUACAGACCUUCUCUGCUGCGUCUCUUAAUUU
rnacentral:misc_RNA from 1 species